GAGGCCUCAUCGGGUUUGACCCCGGCAUGCUUUGACACCUUUUUCACUGUUGGAAGAUGCUCUGACUUUAAAGUAGAAAGCAGACUUGACUGAAGCUGAUUGACACAGGUCAAGGGGACUUCAAGGAAGAAAGCCAGCCUUAGACUGACAUCAGAGAACCAAACUCCGGUGUCUAAGCUCAAGAGGUUAGAAUCCUGAGAACUGUUUGGAAUAAGGAAUCCAAAUAUUGUCUUCCAGCUUCACCUUGUCACGACAGUCCUCGCCAGGGACAGCUGAGCAUCUACAUCUCCAUUUAUGCCGUGUGCACGCAGUACCAACAGAGGUCAGAGGAGGGUGUCGGAUCCCCUGGAACUGGAGUCACAGAUUCUUCCUUGCGUGGAUGAAACAGUCCCAACGAACACUUUAAAAAGACAAAUGUUCCCGACAGCACUGGUUGAAUUCAAAACUCGGCAGAUCCAUGUUCUUAUCCUUAGACAAGAGAGGGGCCAUAACAAGAUGGAAUGACGGAACAGACGUGAGAGAUGAUGUCCACCCAGAGGGUCUGCACUUCUCGGAGCCAGAAGGUGGAGAAGAGUAGGGAUGGAGGAAGUUCGAAGUUUUAGGAGUCUGCUCUUGGGUCCCUAGGCAUGAGGACAAGCUUUUCCUGUACUCAAUGCUCAUCUCUCAGUUGUGCCCACAUUGGUACACAUUACUUGCUUUCAACUGCUGCUGCUGCUGUUUCCUAAUUCAAUAAAGAUAUGGCUGGCUCAGCAGAGAGCUGUCA
rnacentral:lncRNA from 1 species